UCCCAUGUGGCUCAGUUGGUAGAGCAUGGUGUUUGCAACGCCAUGGUUGUGGGUUUGAUUCCCACGGGGGAC
rnacentral:tRNA from 1 species